UACGGGAGGCAGCAGUGGGGGAAUAUUGCACAAUGGGCGCAAGCCUGAUGCAGCCAUGCCGCGUGUAUGAAAAAAGGCCUUCGGGUUGUAAAGUACUUUCAGUCGUGAGGAAGGUGUUAAGGUUAAUAACCUUAGCAAUUGACGUUAGCGACAGAAGAAGCACCGGCUAACUCCGUGCCAGCAGCCGCGGUAAUACGGAGGGUGCGAGCGUUAAUCGGAAUUACUGGGCGUAAAGGGCACGCAGGCGGCUAAUUAAGUUGGAUGUGAAAAUCCCCCGGGCUUAACCUGGGAAUGGCAUUCAAGACUGGUUAGCUAGAGUCUUGUAGAGGGGGUAGAAUUCCAUGUGUAGCGGUGAAAUGCGUAGAGAUGUGGAGGAAUACCGGUGGCGAAAGGCGGCCCCUGGACAAAGACUGACGCUCAUGUGCGAAAAGCGUGGGGAGCAAAAC
rnacentral:rRNA from 1 species